rnacentral:rRNA from 1 species
GAUAAACGCUGGCGGCGUGCUUUAUGCAUGCAAGUCGAACGGUCUGGUGAAUCAAGCUUGCUUGGUACAUCAGACAGUGGCAAACGGGUGAGUAACGCGUAAGUAACCUGCCCCUAAGUAAGGAAUAACUCUGAGAAAUUAGAGCUAAUACCAUAUAUGGUGAUAGAGGUAAUACUCCAUUACUAAAGCUUUCGGGCGCUUAGGGAGGGGCUUGCGUCCGAUUAGCUAGUUGGUAGGGUAAUGGUUUACCAAGGCGAUGAUCGGUAGCUGGUUUGAGAGGACAUCCAGCCACACUGGGAUUGAGAUACGGCCCAGACUCCUACGGGAGGCAGCAGCAAGGAAUUUUGUGCAAUGGGCGAAAGCCUGACACAGCGACGCCGCGUGGGGGAUGAAGGCCCUCGGGUUGUAAACCCCUUUUCUCGGGGAAGAAUAAUGACGGUACCCGAGGAAUAAGUCGUGGCUAACUACGUGCCAGCAGCCGCGGUAAUACGUAGGCGGCGAGCGUUAUCCGGAUUUACUGGGCGUAAAGAGGGCGUAGGCGGUUUUUCAAGUCGAUUGUAAAAUCUCCCGGCUUAACUGGGAGGAGUCAUUCGAUACUGUUAGACUAGAGAGCAGCAGGGGGAGGUAGAAUUCCCGGUGUAGUGGUGAAAUGUGUAGAUAUCGGGAGGAAUACCAGUGGCGAAGGCGGCCUCCUAGGCUGUUUCUGACGCUGAGGCCCGAAAGCGUGGGGAGCAAACAGGAUCAGAUACCCUGGUAGUCCACGCUGUAAUCGAUGGACACUAGGUAUAGGGAGUAUCGACCCUCUCUGUGCCGAAGCUAACGCAUUAAGUGUCCCGCCUGGGGACUACGGCCGCAAGGCUA